rnacentral:rRNA from 1 species
GAUGAACGCUAGCGGCAGGCCUAACACAUGCAAGUCGAGGGGUAGGGUUAGCUUGCUAACUUGAGACCGGCGCACGGGUGCGUAACGCGUAUGCAAUCUACCUUGUACAGAGGGAUAGCCCAGAGAAAUUUGGAUUAAUACCUCAUAGUAUCUUUACCUGGCAUCGGGUAAUUAUUAAAGUUCCAACGGUACAAGAUGAGCAUGCGUCCCAUUAGUUAGUUGGUAAGGUAACGGCUUACCAAGACAAUGAUGGGUAGGGGUCCUGAGAGGGAGAUCCCCCACACUGGUACUGAGACACGGACCAGACUCCUACGGGAGGCAGCAGUGAGGAAUAUUGGUCAAUGGACGCAAGUCUGAACCAGCCAUGCCGCGUGCAGGAAGACGGUCCUAUGGAUUGUAAACUGCUUUUAUACAGGAAGAAACAACUCUACGUGUAGAGUCUUGACGGUACUGUAGGAAUAAGGAUCGGCUAACUCCGUGCCAGCAGCCGCGGUAAAGU